GUAGAAAUGCUCGAAGAUGAAAAGGAUGAAGACGAAGAGGAAGAGGAAGAAGACGCCGCCGUUUCGGAUUCUGAUUCCGCAUCUUGACUCGGCCCAGAGGACAUGCACUUCACUGUCAAACCUCGACACCAAACCUUGAAUUGGGUUAUGGGCGUAAUGGAACGAGGAGGAAGAGAAGGGAGAGGUGAGGAUCCACACAGGAAUGGAGGAGACGAGAUGUUGAGGAAGCUAGCCAUUGUUGCCCUCUCUCUUCUUCACCGUACAAACAUGUGGCCAAGGU
rnacentral:misc_RNA from 1 species